GUGUCAGCCGCCGCGGUAAUACGGAGGAUGCAAGCGUUAUCCGGAUUCAUUGGGUUUAAAGGGUGCGCAGGCGGAUUGGUAAGUCAGGGGUGAAAUCCCACAGCUCAACUGUGGAACUGCCUUUGAUACUGUCAGUCUAGAGUAUAGUUGAAGUUGGCGGAAUGUGUCAUGUAGCGGUGAAAUGCUUAGAUAUGACACAGAACACCGAUCGCGAAGGCAGCUAGCUAAGCUAUAACUGACGCUCAUGCACGAAAGCGUGGGGAUCAAACAGGAUUAGAUACCCUGGUAGUCCACGCUGUAAACGAUGAUUACUCGAUGUUGGCGAUACACAGUCAGCGUCUGAGCGAAAGCAAUAAGUAAUCCACCUGGGGAGUACGAUCGCAAGAUUGAAACUUAAAGGAAUUGACGG
rnacentral:rRNA from 1 species